ACUCUCUUGUACUCUAUCAGCUUCCCAAGUCACAUGCUGUUAGGGCAGAUCCACAGACAUCUGUGAAAGAGGCAGAGAGGAGAUGACUGGACUCUCAGGUUUAAGGAUACACACACACACACAGAGUCUUACUCUACAGACUAGGUAAACCUCAACAACAGGCAAUCCUAGUGCCUCAACCUCCCAAGUGAGCUACCACACCAGACUUGGUCAGCAUUGGUUUGCAUGUGAAGUGUCAAGCUUACAAUACAAUCUCCAACUUCUAUUCGGUUUAUGGAAUAAAACAAGCUUUAGUGGCUGCUCUCCAGGCUCACAGCAGCGCUGGAUGAGAGAAUCCAAAUCGAGAAGCACUGACACCAGGAGAUAACAACAACCUAAUUACAAGGAAGAAACACAAAGCCUAAAGGAAGCAGCCCCCAAGCUGGGCAUGCUCACAUUGCACCUGGGAAGCUUGAGAACUCAGAGCCAGCCUGAGCUAUGUAACAAACCCAGUCACAAAGAUACAAUAAAGCAAUCCUCUAG
rnacentral:lncRNA from 1 species